rnacentral:rRNA from 1 species
UGAGACUUAGGGUCUCCUGAAGGAACGUUGAAGACGACGACGUUGAUAGGCCGGGUGUGUAAGCGCAGCGAUGCGUUGAGCUAACCGGUACUAAUGAACCGUGAGGCUUAACCUUACAACGCCGAAG